AGGUCAAGUGAAGAAGGGCGCACGGUGAAUGCCUUGGCACUGGAAGCCGAUGAAGGACGCGACUAACCGCGAAAGUCUUCGGGGAGCCGUAAGUAGGCUUUGAUCCGGAGGUCUCCGAAUGGGGGAACCCAGCAUGUGCAGACAUGCUAUCCUUAAGUGAAUACAUAGCUUAAGGAGGGAACACGCAGUGAACUGAAACAUCUAAGUAGCUGCAGGAAGAGAAAGAAAUAUCGAUUUCCCAAGUAGCGGCGAGCGAACAGGAAAGAGCCCAAACCGGCAGAUUUAUCUGCCGGGGUUGUAGGACUGAGACAUGGCACUUCAGAGGAUAGCAGAAGCGUUUGGGAA
rnacentral:rRNA from 1 species